rnacentral:tRNA from 1 species
AAAGGUAUAGCUCAAGUGGUAGAGCACAUGCUCAACAUGCAAGAGGUCCCGGGUUCAAUCCCCUGUACCUCCU